UACGUAGGGGGCCAGCGUUGUCCGGAUUUAUUGGGCGUAAAGAGCGUGUAGGCGGCCAGGUAGGUCUGCUGUGAAAACUCGAGGCUCAACCUCGAGACGUCGGCGGAAACCAUCUGGCUAGAGUCCGGAAGAGGAGAGUGGAAUUCCUGGUGUAGCGGUGAAAUGCGCAGAUAUCAGGAAGAACACCAACGGCGAAGGCAGCUCGCUGGGACGGAACUGACGCUAAGGCGCGAAAGCGUGGGGAGCGAACAGG
rnacentral:rRNA from 1 species